rnacentral:rRNA from 1 species
UACGUAGGGUGCGAGCGUUGUCCGGAAUUAUUGGGCGUAAAGGGCUCGUAGGCGGUUUGUCGCGUCGGGAGUGAAAACCUCGGGCUUAACUCGGGGCUUGCUUUCGAUACGGGCAGACUGGAGGUAUGCAGGGGAGAACGGAAUUCCUGGUGUAGCGGUGAAAUGCGCAGAUAUCAGGAGGAACACCGGUGGCGAAGGCGGUUCUCUGGGCCGAUACCGACGCUGAGGAGCGAAAGCGUGGGGAGCGAACAGG